rnacentral:rRNA from 1 species
GAUGAACGCUGGCGGCGUGCCUAAUACAUGCAAGUCGAGCGAACAGACGAGGAGCUUGCUCCUCUGACGUUAGCGGCGGACGGGUGAGUAACACGUGGAUAACCUACCUCUAAGACUGGGAUAACUUCGGGAAACCGGAGCUAAUACCGGAUAAUAUAUUGAACCGCAUGGUUCAAUAGUGAAAGACGGUUUUGCUGUCACUUAUAGAUGGAUCCGCGCCGCAUUAGCUAGUUGGUAAGGUAACGGCUUACCAAGGCGACGAUGCUUAGCCGACCUGAGAGGGUGAUCGGCCACACUGGAACUGGGACACGGUCCAGACUCCUACGGGAGGCAGCAGUAGGGAAUCUUCCGCAAUGGGCGAAGUCCUGACGGAGCAACGCCGCGUGAGUGAUGAAGGUCUUCGGAUCGUAAAACUCUUUUAUUAGGGAAGAACAAAUGUGUAAGUAACUAGGCACGUCUUGACGGUACCUAAUCAGAAAGCCACGGCUAACUACGUG